rnacentral:lncRNA from 1 species
CUAUCACUAAGCAACAUCCCCAGCGCUUUUUUCUUUCUGUUUGUUUGUUUGUUUUGUUUUGUUUUGAGACAGGAUCUGGCUAAAUUGCCCAGGCUGGCCUCAAACUUGCAAUCCUCCUGCCUCAGCCUCAGUGUAAGAUAUUUGGCCCAUCUUAUUUUUGUAUCUGGGACUACUGACAUGCAUCACCACUCCUGGUAUUGAUGUUGUUUUCUGCCUUCUCUGCUUGCAAGCUCUGCUGAAAUGGAAAGGUCCACAUGGCACUGAACUGAGUUCCAUGUCUGGUCACCAGCCAACAACUAAGUGAGGCUGUGAGCCUAACAAUGCAUAAGAACUGAAUUCUACCAACAAUCACCUGAGCUUAGAAGUGGAUCCUCUUACAUUUCAUCCAUUGGGUAAGACCCCAGCUGUGGCUGACACUCUGAUUGAAGCCAUGCAGGUGGGCAAGGGUGUGGUUAGGCUGCUCCUUCCGGUCCAUCCUAGAGUGCAGCAGGGAUUGGAAGGGGCACUUAAUGUUUCUUGGACCCAUGUGAAGCUGGGCUUUGGGGCUGUGAAAUAAAGCAGUGAUUACUCAUCUACUUGGCCACUGCUGGUCUUUCUCCUUCAACAUUCCAAACAGUCCGCCUCACACAUCCUGAUGUAAAUGCCAUUGAUUCCG